GUGUCCAGUUCUGCCCAAGAAGGAAAAGGGGCUACUGGAGAGGUUCCAGCAGAAGUUACAAAGAUGGGAAGAACUGACCCCUGUGCCAUGCAAGUAACAGAAGACAUCUUACUUAUUGUUCUCCAAGUUGAGAGUGGUCCCGACAGUUGAUGAGCAGGACCAGACAUUUUGGAGAGAAAGGCAGUGAUCUGAGCUCUUUGGGACAAGCAGGAGAGCACAUCUAAGUGAAAGUUGUAAGGAAAAAAAAGAGAAAAUGCAGUAAAGGAUGUCGUCGUGUUCUGCUAUAAAACGGGGAGGAUUCUUCUAAUGGAUUUCUUGAACGAAAAUAAAGUGCAAAUACAACAGUA